ensembl:misc_RNA Metazoa_SRP Metazoan signal recognition particle RNA
UGAGGCAGGAGAAUCACUUGAACCCAGGAGGCAGAGGUUGCAGUGAGCCAAGAUCGUGCCACUGCACUCCAGCCUGGCAACAGAUUGAGACUCAGUCUCUAAAAAAAAAGCUGUGUUCUACAUGAUGAAUAUUUCCUAUUUAUUUAUUUAUUUUGGGACAGAGUCUCACUCUUGUCUCCCAGGCUGGAAUGCAGUGGCGAGAUCUCGGCUCACUACAACAUCCACCUCCUGGGUUCAAGCGAUUCUCCUGCCUCAGCCUCCCAAGUAGCUCGGAUUACAGGCACCCGCCACCACACCCGGC